rnacentral:rRNA from 1 species
UACGUAGGGUGCGAGCGUUAAUCGGAAUUACUGGGCGUAAAGCGUGCGCAGGCGGUUGUGCAAGACAGAUGUGAAAUCCCCGGGCUUAACCUGGGAACUGCAUUUGUGACUGUGCGACUGGAGUGCGGCAGAGGGGGAUAGAAUUCCGCGUGUAGCAGUGAAAUGCGUAGAUAUGCGGAGGAACACCGAUGGCGAAGGCAGUCCCCUGGGCCUGCACUGACGCUCAUGCACGAAAGCGUGGGGAGCAAACAGG